rnacentral:rRNA from 1 species
GACGAACGCUGGCGGCGUGCUUAACACAUGCAAGUCGAACGAAGAGCGAUGGAAGCUUGCUUCUAUCAGUUUUAGUGGCGCACGGGUGAGUAACGCGUAAUCAACCUGCCCUUCAGAGGGGGACAACAGUUGGAAACGACUGCUAAUACCGCAUACGAUCUAAUCUCGGCAUCGAGGAUAGAAGAACGGUGGUCUCUACAUGUAAGCUAUCACCGAAGGCGGGGAUUGCGUCUGAUUAGCUAGUUGGGGGGGUAACGGCCCACCAAGGCGAUGACCAGUAGCCGGUCUGGGAGGAGGGACGGCCACAAUGGGACUGAGGCACGGCCCAGGCUCCUACGGGGAGCAGCAAGGGGGGAUCUUCCGGAAUGGACGGAAGUCUGACGGAGGAAAGCCGGGGGGGUGGUGGCAGCCUUCGGGUUGGAAAGCUCCGUUUAUCAGGACGAAAGACAUUCGUGCGAAUAGAGGGACGGAUUGACGGUACCGGAAUAGAAAGCCACGGCUAACUACGUG